ACCCAUAUCCCAUUCAAACGACCCACCUGGCGCCUUUAAAUCCAAUCAUUGAUCUAACAAAUCAACGACUCACAUUCCCCCUUUCCUUAAUUAAUUCCAAAUGACCCCAAAUCCUUCUCAUUUUCCACCUGCCAGCUGCAUCUGAACCCCUCAUUCUCUCAAACUCUCUUGAAGCUUCUCAAACCCUAGCCACCACCUCCUCCCUGAAAGCCACCGGAAUCCAUGGCUUCCAAGCCCAUGGAAGCUCUAUGCCCACCUCCUAUUGCUCCUACAUGCCUGAUUUUUGAAGAUUCAAGGCCUUACCACGACAAAGUUUUGUCCAGGCUUCGUUCGAUUCGAGUUCCACGACCAUCUCCGGUUUUGCUCCGGCGUACCAUGGUUGCUCGAGCUUGAUUUUGACCUCUCCGACUUAGAUUGGUGACUCUUCAAAGCCUUUCUCACUACUGGGGUUCUUAUAAAACCCUAAUCCUUUGGGGUUUUCACCGAUUCCCUUAGAUUUAUUCCAGAUCUAUGUUUUCC
rnacentral:lncRNA from 1 species